CGGCGGUACGCGUUGCCUCUCCAGAAGGGUUUGUGUCCUUAUCUACACUAUCCUUUGCUGCAAGGCAAAGCCAUCACUCGACACGCGAAGCUCGUUUAUGAGUGUUAAAAGGCUGCUUUAUUUCUCUAAUGCGGGACAACUACUUACUUAAAGCGUUGGUUUGCUGUUUAUCGCCCAGGCAGAGCAGGCGGCGAAGACUGGCGAGCAGUGGUAGAAGCGACGGAGCAGGAAGUACAAUCGUAGCGGCUACUAAACGGGCGGCCGCGCUAAAAUCCACUGGCUCUCUCGGAUAUUAAUUUAGACCAAUGACAAGUGAAGUUCUGGAAAAAAAUCCUACAGAAAUUUGCACAUUCAAACUUGCAGUGAGGCGUUAACUGCUACAUCUGUGAAACCUGCCCAGUCUGUCUACUACUGGUUCAACUGCUUUGGAGAGGCACUCUGACUCUCAAUCUCCAAAACAUAGAUACUGCUAGACAUGAAGAAAUUAAAGUACU